rnacentral:rRNA from 1 species
UUCUUCGGAGAUAGAGACCGGCGCACGGGUGCGUAAUGCGUAUGCAAUCUACCUUUUACAGAGGGAUAGCCCAGAGAAAUUUGGAUUAAUACCUCAUAGUAUAACGACCUGGCAUCAGGAUGUUAUUAAAGUCACAACGGUAAAAGAUGAGCAUGCGUCCCAUUAGCUAGUUGGUAAGGUAACGGCUUACCAAGGCUACGAUGGGUAGGGGUCCUGAGAGGGAGAUCCCCCACACUGGUACUGAGACACGGACCAGACUCCUACGGGAGGCAGCAGUGAGGAAUAUUGGACAAUGGGCGCAAGCCUGAUCCAGCCAUGCCGCGUGCAGGAUGACGGUCCUAUGGAUUGUAAACUGCUUUUAUACGAGAAGAAACACUACUUCGUGAAGCAGCUUGACGGUAUCGUAAGAAUAAGGAUCGGCUAACUCCGUGCCAGCAGCCGCGGUAAUACGGAGGAUCCAAGCGUUAUCCGGAAUCAUUGGGUUUAAAGGGUCCGUAGGCGGUCUUAUAAGUCAGUGGUGAAAUCUCCCCGCUCAACGGGGAAACGGCCAUUGAUACUGUAGGACUUGAAUUAUUAGGAAGUAACUAGAAUAUGUAGUGUAGCGGUGAAAUGCUUAGAGAUUACAUGGAAUACCAAUUGCGAAGGCAGGUUACUACUAAUGGAUUGACGCUGAUGGACGAAAGCGUGGGUAGCGAACAGGAU